rnacentral:rRNA from 1 species
AUACGUAGGGGGCUAGCGUUAUCCGGAAUUACUGGGCGUAAAGGGUGCGUAGGUGGUUUCUUAAGUCAGAAGUGAAAGGCUACGGCUCAACCGUAGUAAGCUUUUGAAACUAAGAGACUUGAGUGCAGGAGAGGAGAGUAGAAUUCCUAGUGUAGCGGUGAAAUGCGUAGUUAUUAGGAGGAAUACCAGUUGCGAAGGCGGCUCUCUGGACUGUAACUGACACUGAGGCACGAAAGCGUGGGGAGCAAACAGGAUUAGAUACCCUGGUAGUCCACGCCGUAAACGAUGAGUACUAGCUGUCGGGGGUUACCCCCCUCGGUGGCGCAGCUAACGCAUUAAGUACUCCGCCUGGGAAGUACGCUCGCAAGAGUGAAAAUCAAAUGAAUUGGCGGG